rnacentral:lncRNA from 1 species
AUGAUUUCAUUUAAAUUCUUUUUUCAGUUUGAUCAACGUCAGAAAUUCAUGGGCCUUCCGACAAGUGAUGAGUUGCAGAAACAAGAUAUUCCGAAGAAGUUUCCGAAGAAGUUUAUGGCUGAGGUGAGAAGUAAAUGGCCCCUGCUCCCACUUCUUUUCUCUGCAUUUUAUACGUAUUCCAGGUUUGAAUAUGCCGAUACUAAUUUUACCUAUGUGAAUUUGCAGCACCUGAAAAUGGACUUCUUGAGGGCAAACUUUAAUUAACCAGUAUGAUAAUGCUUAUUGGGUGGGCUUUACUUUUCUGAACUUUCCCCACUCUUAUAUGUGAGGGGUUGGUUUGCUUGCUUUUAAAAUUCAAGUGUUUUUGUUGUGAGUAUUAAAAGACAGGUGUUCUUUAUUAUUAGAUUGGUUACGAAUAUUUUUAAUGUCUGCUUUGCCAUGGCUUUGAACAACAGUAGAAUGUUUCCUAAAUUCUUUAUAUGCUACAACCCCCAUUUUGAGGUACCAUAAACAGCAAGACCCUACAA